UACAGAGGUCUCAAGCGUUGUUCGGAUUCAUUGGGCGUAAAGCGCGUGUAGGCGGCUUUGCAAGUCGGGUGUGAAAGCCCUCAGCUCAACUGAGGAAGUGCGCCCGAAACUGCAUGGCUUGAAUACCGGAGAGGAUGGCGGAAUUCCCCAAGUAGAGGUGAAAUUCGUAGAUAUGGGGAGGAACACCGGUGGCGAAGGCGGCCAUCUGGACGGCUAUUGACGCUGAGACGCGAAAGCAUGGGGAGCAAACAGG
rnacentral:rRNA from 1 species